GAAUUGUAACAGUACACUCUGUACAUGGCUUUGGGGCUCCGAUUUGAUUUUACAGAGUUAUGUCAUUACCUCAUUACAUAUUUCACGUUAAAUAAACAGACAUGCAUAAUUGUUUAUUAUUAUUAUUUUAAAAAAUUCAGGAUGACAUGCCCCUGAUCAGGAGGUGGUGGUGUGCUCUCAUACUGGACAACUUCACUCUGCAAAUGCAUGUAGCUGUUUGCAUGUUCCUACAUUAAACAUUAGUUUAUGUACUACAUCUACCAAUAUACAUGCCUACCUCUUGUCAUUUGUUUUUCUUAGCACUCAACCUUACAAAAGGCAAUGUCUUCGGGGAGAUUCAGACAGAGAGAUUCAGGUCCAAGGCUAUUAACACCGCCCGACCCUUGAAAGCCCUGGCCCACACUGGCCCGACAGUGGGGAAAGCGGCUAAUGUGUGUUGGAGCGAUAUUAUUUUAAUAUUAUCGUUAUAAGAGAAUAUUUAUCUCUUUAUUUAUUAUUUUAUUCAGAGCAUGCAGCUAUGACAACAAUAUAUCAGCUUCCCCAUGAAAUAAUAGCAACUGGUGAUUCUGCAUAUUUGACGCUUUCACUGGUAUGCAGAUGGUUUAGGGAUGUGGUCACAAAUGAAAUUUUCCAGAAAGCAGCACACUUUGCCUGGCUGAACAGUGUGGUCAACUGGAAAAAAAAUUCUCCGGACUACUGUGAUGAGUUUCGCCGGAUCUACAGCUUCAGGGAAUGCUUGGAGCUUUUUUUAAGUCCUAUCCACCAGGGUACAGGGGAAGAGGAAGACGAGGGGAACUGCUGGGCUUUUACUGCGAAGAUCUUUGUACAGGAUUUUGCUCACAGGACUGUUUUUUUUUUUUUUUGCUGCAGGAAAUGAAUUUCUGUAAAACUCAAAACUUGUAGAUGGGAAUUGAGAGAUGAACUGGUUUUGAUGUAGUAAUUGAUGCAACUAAAAGGUAAACUUAAAGGUCAAACUUGAAAAAUUAGAAUAUUGUGCAAAAGUUCAUGUUCAGUAAUUCAAAUUAAAAAGUGAAACUAAUAUAUUUAGUAUAAAUAACUAUAUGCAUAUGGCAUGAUUAUAUAUAAUUUUCAGAGGGCUUACAUUUUUGUAAUAUUCUGAUUUUGUGAGAUUUUGAAUUUGAUGUUCAUCAAAAUUAUAACUUUUGCACGAUAUUAAAAUUUUUUGAGUUUCACCUGUAUAGUGUUCUAUUGAAAAGCUAUGGCAAAAACAUAGGUUUCACUAAUUGUGAAUAUGGUAAAGUACCUUGGUUCUUUAAGGUUUGCAUAAAUUCCAUUCUGCUGAUGCAUAAGUGCAGUUUGGAGUCUAUAAUAAAGAAAAAGUGACAAAGUC